rnacentral:lncRNA from 10 species
GCAACAUGGAAAAGCUGGUCAAUUAGUUGAAAAAUACCCAUAUGAGAUGAUCCAACAGUGAACUUUCUUUCUUUUCUUUUUUUUUUUUUUUGAGAUGGAGUCUCCCUUUAUUGCCCAGGCUGGACUGCAGUGGCGUGAUCUCGGCUCACUGCAAGCUCCGCCUCCCGGAUUCAAGCGAUUCUUCUGCCUCAGCCUGCGAUUCUUCUGCCUCAGCCUCCCGAGUAGCUGGGACUACAGGCACGUGCUACCACACCUGGCUAAGUUUUUGUAUUUUUAGUAGAGAUGGGGUUUCACCAGAUUAGCCAGGAUGGUCUCCAGCUCCUGACCUCGUGAACCGCCCGCCUUCGUCUUACAAAGUGCUGGGAUUACAGGUGCGACAAGAUAAUGAACCUCCAUUCCUCUGAGAGAAGAGUAUUUUGAAUAUUCGACUUUGCCCAUGAAUUUCCCUUUCCAUGUCUUGCUCUGUUGCCCAGGUUGGAGUAAAAUGGUACAAUCACAGUUCACUGCAGCCUCGACCUCUCCAGUUCAAGUGAUCCUCCUGACUCUGCCUUCUGAGUGGCUGAGACUAUAGGCAUGCAUCAUUAUGCCUGGCUUUUUAAAAAACUUUUUGUAAAGAUGGGGUCUCCCUAUGUUGCCCAGGCUGAUCUUGAACACCUGGGCUCAAGGGAUCCUCCUGCCUUGGCAUCCCAAAGUAUUGAGAUUACAGGCAUGAGCCACCAUGCCUGGUCCUAACAUCAUUUUUUGGAUACUGCGCUUACUUCCUAAGAUCAAGAACAAGGGGGAAAAAAACCAUCUUUUCGAAGAUUAAAGAAUUUUUCUGUGGCACCGCAGAGCUGAGGAGCGAUUGGACACUGAAUGAGGGGUAUAGUGAAUCUGGCUCCGAGAGAAGCCCUCUAAAUGGAAUAGCAGGUAGCUGUAUGGUGAGCAUUCCUCUCCCAGCAAUCUGUUGUUCUUUGUGAGCAGACUGGAGUGUGACAGCUGUGAAAACGAUCAAAGGCAGGUCCCAGACAGGAGAGGGCUGAUGACAAUGCCAGUUUCCCUCUAAGACCCUGUGGACAGCAGGGCCAUGAGGGAUGCUGUGACACAGAGUCUUGCUUGAUGCAGUGUGUGGUGUUACUCACAGGAGUGGGUUCAGCCACUCUUGGUGUGAAACCCAAGGAAAAUGUCUCUGCCGCAGCUGAUGUCAACAUGUACAGCAUGUGACCAGCUUGCAUUAAAGGAGAUGUGUGUAUGAGUUCUGCAGAAGUCCACCAAAUGUGGGCCAGGGUUAUUUCCCUGGUGAUGCUCUGAAGCUUUUGCCAAAGGACAAAUGGAAACAGGAAGUACAAUCAUGCACUGGGGUAAAGAAGAUUCAUCUGCUCUUAGCUACCUACCAUGCCAACACUCCUGAGAAAGCUCACAGAGGCCCAUGAUGCCCACCUGGAUCUGAGGACCUAGAAAGCCACAACAGGCAACCAUAAUCUGGGUCUUCCCUCAGCCAACUCCCCUGCAUAAAGUGAAUGAAUGAAAAACCCAUCUUAUAUUAAUCAGAGUUCUCUAGAGAAAAAGAACCAAUCAGAUGUGUAUAUAUAGAAAGAGAGAAUUAUUUUAGGGAAUUAGCUCACAUCAUUAUGCAGGCUGGUCAAUCAAAAAUCUGUGGAGUGGGCUAGCAGGCUGGAGACCCAGGGAAAGGCUAAAUUGCAGUUUAGAUCAGAAGGUCAUCUACUGGCAGAAUUCCCUCAUCUUCCAGGAAGGUGGAUCUUUUUCUACCAAGGCCUUCAGUUUAUUAGAUUAGGCCCAUGAACAUGCUGGAGGGUAAUCUGCUUUACUCAAUACAUACUGAUUUGAAUGUUAGUAUCAUCAAAAAGACCUUCACAGAAACAUCUAAAAUAAUGUUUGACCAAAUGUCUGCAUACCAUGGCCAAGCCAAGUUUACACAUAAAAUUAAUUAUCACACAUCCCACGAACACCAUCCCCAACAGAUGCUCAUGAGCAUUGUGGUUAUGAUUUCAACUUCAGAAUAAGGCAGAAAUGUGUACAAAUCCUGACCCUUUGACUUAUCAGCUCUCUAAAAAUCAUUAUAUGUCAACUUUCUAGACUUUACCUGAAAAACAGAAACCAAGAUACCCACAGCAUAAGAUUGUUAGGAUUGAAGAAAUUGUUACGAUUGUUAGGUAUGAAGAAAUUUAAACAAUGAUGCAGCUGAGAUAUUUAGAAUUGUACCUGGCAUGUACUUUGUAUUAAAUAACUAAUAAGGCCUUUUUCUGGUGAAAACAAAAUAAGCCUGGAUAAAAGAAGAUGAGACCAGAUUGGUUGAUGGCUCGGCCUGGGUGGGCUCCUGGCCCAUCUGAAAUUACAUUACUCUUAUGUAGUGCCUUUUUUGUUAUUGCUAAAAUAAAAUAAAUAAAACACUCUACUUUCAUACUUUGUAAAAUGCACUUCUCAUUCAGUUCCUCUUCCUGUGCCUUUUCCCUAUUGUCUAUCUGCACACAGCUGUUUUCUUCUGCACAUUUUCAUCACAGAGAAUUACCAGGUGUAGGUCAAAAGAUGCCACAGAGAUAACAAAGGAAAGGAAAAGCUUUUCUGCACUUCUAUCCUUGUAAGCACAAAAAUUAAUCACACUUUCAGUAAACAGGUCAGGUAAGUCAGUCCUGCACUUGAACCUUUUCUCCCCAAAUAAAUAGUUGAAAUGGGAAUGUCGAUUUCUGUAUUUGAACAGAAAUGUAUUAGUGUAGCUUUCAAAAGAAGACUACUCUCUCCAUAUGAAUAUCAUCAGACCCACAAAUACACAUAUGCAUACAUUCACAGUUCAUCCUAACGCUGCAGAAUAUUCUAAGAGUAACACAUUUCUGUACAAAUCAAGCAGCAGCUUUCACUUGCAUGCUAAUCUUCAAAUUAAUUCUGCAAUGAUCCAUUCAUUCCACAUCCCAACCUACAUCCUCAGAAAAACAAAGAUGUAAGUAAGGAACUCAGUAUAACAUGUUUGACUUUAGACACUACUCAAAUAUACUCAAACUUUAUAUGAAUAUGGAUAUUGCUCCUAGAUUAGGCAGUUCAGAAAACAAAUCUUGAUUAUUCUUAGUUACAAUGUAGUAUAAAAUAACAACAAUUUCAUGUCAACAACAGAAUCUCCUAAAAGAUCUUAUAAAGAUAAAAAGUCUUAGGUGUUAGUCGUCAAAGACUAAGUUGUAAAUGUAUCAUUGUAUUUGUGUAGUUAAUAAAACCCUAGACAAGAUAUGGGUUCCAGUUCUUGAACCACCACCACCUGUUCACCUUAAAUAAGUCAACUAAC